rnacentral:rRNA from 2 species
UGGGCGCAAGCCUGAUGCAGCCAUGCCGCGUGUAUGAAGAAGGCCUUCGGGUUGUAAAGUACUUUCAGCGAGGAGGAAGGYGUUGUGGUUAAUAACCGCAGCRAUUGAMGUUACUCGCAGAAGAAGCACCGGCUAACUCCGUGCCAGCAGCCGCGGUAAUACGGAGGGUGCAAGCGUUAAUCGGAAUUACUGGGCGUAAAGCGCACGCAGGCGGUCUGUCAAGUCGGAUGUGAAAUCCCCGGGCUCAACCUGGGAACUGCAUCCGAAACUGGCAGGCUAGAGUCUUGUAGAGGGGGGUAGAAUUCCAGGUGUAGCGGUGAAAUGCGUAGAGAUCUGGAGGAAUACCGGUGGCGAAGGCGGCCCCCUGGACAAAGACUGACGCUCAGGUGCGAAAGCGUGGGGAGCMACCAGGUUUAGAUACCCUGGUAGUCCACGCCGUAAACGAUGUCGUCUUGUUGUGCCCUUGAGGCGUGGCUUCCGGAGCUAACGCGUUAAGUCGACCGCCUGGG